CGGAGGAGGGAAAAUUCCUUUUUAUUUCGCACGAUGGUAGAUAAAAGCUAGGUACGAAACAGUGCACGCAACGCGUGUGUUCCGUGCGUUCCGGGCCCAAUUACUCGGCUGGAACAUGUGUCGCACGGCCGUGCUGGAGAAAGAAUGCGAGCGGAGCGUUUACUGAUAACGAGCGGCGCAGCAUCAGGAAGCGGAUCACGAAGGAUUAACAUCACACUUGGAAGCUUUUCACUAAAAAUAUUCGACACUUUCCAAUAAGAUGCAAAUGAACUAUAGUGAUUCGAUUUGGUUGGGGUCACCGGUGACCCCAUAGCAUUCAACGUGUUAAUAUUACAUACAACACUAUGUAAUUAUAUACAUCUAAUCAAAUGGUGGCUCUUUAAGAUGAAUUUAUCAAGAAAUCAUGCAAGAAUUAGGGAACAAAGUGCAGUGUACAAAGAUUAAUGAGGUAACCUCUGCUGUAUCGAGGCUUCACGGCACACGGAAAAUGAGACGUCGAACGGUCGCGUUCGGUAAAAAGACGUUCAGUGAGGCGCAUCUUACAUUAGUUACGAGUGUUGCUGGGUAUUUUGCGGUAAGAGGCAUUCCAUAGAGGAGGAAGAGGAGGGGGGAUAGACGAGGCGAGUGAGUCUCAUGGCAGGACGGGGCAUCCGUGGCUAUGGUUGCAUUCCUUCUUCCUAGCCCGUGCUGCAUGCGAAGUAACAAAGUUCCGUGUGUAUACGCGCACGCGGGUGGCGAGGGACGAGCACAAGGUAAACAUAAAAACGGCCAAGUGGAACGGUAAGUAAAUCCAACGAGCGCGGCGAGAAAGGAAAAGGCUUCCCUCGCGGGGACAACGUCGAUGCGGUGGUAAGAACGCGUUUCAAUGUGUCUUCCGAUGCGACAGGGUGGAGGGCCUUCAGCAUCGUCGUUAGAAACUGUCACAACAAUCUAUAAACCACGAAUAAUCGAGGGAAAAACCGACUCAAAUGAAUUCUCUAUUACAGAUUUGUCAAGGAACUCUGGAAUCCUG